UACGUAGGCAGCAAGCGUUGUUCGGAGUUACUGGGCGUAAAGGGUGCGUAGGCGGCCUUAUAAGUCUGGUGUGAAAUCUCCCGGCUUAACUGGGAGGGUGCGCUAUAGACUGUGGGGCUAGAGUGUGGGAGAGGAAAGUGGAAUUCCUGGUGUAGCGGUGAAAUGCGUAGAUAUCAGGAGGAACACCGGUGGUGUAAACGGCUUUCUGGACCAUAACUGACGCUGAGGCACGAAAGCGUGGGUAGCAAACAGG
rnacentral:rRNA from 1 species